rnacentral:rRNA from 1 species
UACAGAGGUCCCGAGCGUUGUUCGGAUUCACUGGGCGUAAAGGGUGCGUAGGUGGCGAGGUAAGUCGGAUGUGAAAGCUCGGAGCUCAACUCCGAAAUGGCAUUGGAAACUACCUUGCUCGAGGGUUGGAGGGGGGACUGGAAUACUUGGUGUAGCAGUGAAAUGCGUAGAUAUCAAGUGGAACACCAGAGGCGAAGGCGGUUACCUGGACAGUUACUGACGCUCAGGCACGAAAGCUAGGGGAGCAAACGGG